rnacentral:rRNA from 1 species
GGAUGAGCCUGCGUACCAUUAGCUAGUUGGUGGGGUAAGAGCCUACCAAGGCGACGAUGGUUAGCUGGUCUGAGAGGAUGAUCAGCCACACUGGAACUGGAACACGGUCCAGACUCCUACGGGAGGCAGCAGUGAGGAAUUUUGCGCAAUGGGGGAAACCCUGACGCAGCAACGCCGCGUGAGUGAUGAAGGCUUUCGGGUCGUAAAGCUCUGUCGAUUGGGAAGAAGGUAUACUGGGUUAACAGUCCGGUAUAUUGACGGUACCGUUGAAGGAAGCACCGGCUAACUCCGUGCCAGCAGCCGCGGUAAUACGGGGGGUGCAAGCGUUAUUCGGAAUUAUUGGGCGUAAAGGGCGCGUAGGCGGUUGGAAAAGUCAGAUGUGAAAGCCCCGGGCUUAACCUGGGAAGUGCAUUUGAUACUAUUUGACUUGAGUAUGGGAGAGGGUAGUGGAAUUCCUGGUGUAGAGGUGAAAUUCGUAGAUAUCAGGAGGAACACCUGUGGCGAAGGCGGCUACCUGGACCAAUACUGACGCUGAGGCGCGAAGGCGUGGGGAGCAAACAGGAUUAGAUACCCUGGUAGUCCACGCAGUAAACGAUGAUCACUAGGUGUAGCGGGUAUUGACCCCUGCAUGUGCCGCAGUUAACGACAUUAA